rnacentral:rRNA from 1 species
AUUGAACGCUGGCGGCAGGCCUAACACAUGCAAGUCGAACGAGUGGCGGACGGGUGAGUAAUGUCUGGGAAACUGCCCGAUGGAGGGGUAUAACUACUGGAAACUGUAGCUAAUACCGCAUCCCAUCGGAUGUCCCGCGAUGGGAUUGGCUAGUAGGUGGGGUAAUGGCUCACCUAGGCGACGAUCCCUAGCUGGUCUGAGAGGAGGACCAGCCAAACUGGAACGGAGACACGGGCCAGACGCCUACGGGAGGGAGAAGUGGGGAAUAUUGCACAAUGGGCGAAAGCCUGAUGCAGCCAUGCCGCGUGGAGGAAGAAGGCCUUCGGGUUGUAAAGUACUUUCAGCGAGGAGGCGUUACUCGCAGAAGAAGCACCGGCUAACUCCGUGCCAGCAGCCGCGGUAAUUC